AAAAAGUUAUAUUGAAGCUGCUAACUUUAAUAAGGGAUUUUUGUUCCACUUUUUU
rnacentral:tRNA from 1 species